rnacentral:rRNA from 1 species
CGGGGGAAAGGGGGGGAUCUUCGGACCUCUCGCUAUCAGAUGAGCCCAUGUCAGAUUAGCUUGUUGGUGAGGUAAAGGCUCACCAAGGCGACGAUCUGUAACUGGUCUGAGAGGAUGAUCAGUCACACUGGAACUGAGACACGGUCCAGACUCCUACGGGAGGCAGCAGUGGGGAAUAUUGGACAAUGGGCGCAAGCCUGAUCCAGCCAUGCCGCGUGUGUGAAGAAGGCCUUAGGGUUGUAAAGCACUUUCAGUGGGGAGAAAGGUCAUUCACCUAAUACGUGAGUGAAUUGAUGUUACCCACAGAAGAAGCACCGGCUAACUCCGUGCCAGCAGCCGCGGUAAUACGGAGGGUGCAAGCGUUAAUCGGAAUUACUGGGCGUAAAGCGCACGUAGGUGGUUUGUUAAGCCAGCUGUGAAAUCCCCGGGCUCAACCUGGGCACUGCAGUUGGAACUGGCAAGCUAGAGUAGGGUAGAGGGGUGUGGAAUUCCAGGUGUAGCGGUGAAAUGCGUAGAUAUCUGGAGGAACAUCAGUGGCGAAGCGACACCCUGGACUCAUACUGACACUGAGUGCGAAAGCGUGG